UUUUUUUCUUUAUUUUUUUACUCUAUUUUUUUUUCCCGCUGGAACGAGGGAUUCCAACAGGUGAACUAUGAUUUUUUUGUUGAUAUAACGUAUAAUUAUAUUAAUAUUUCAAAUUUUCAACUACAUGCAAGUUAAUAUUGUUUAUAUGUGUGGUCCGUGUGGAGAACCCCUAAAGAAUCUUGAGAAUGCAAGACCUCUUACUUCAUCGGUUUCAUCUCUCUUAUGAUUCCUCUUAGAAUGUUGGUGCAAGUUUUCUGUGGCUAAGAUUUGUGGUAACACAUCGUGUGGUGUUUUUUGUUUCAUGGUCCAUAUAUAUAUAUAUAUAUAUUUUAAUUUACUUUUGGAUAAUGUACUUUGCUCAUAUGUUAGCAUAUAUAGUAUUAGUAUAUUCAGAUAUAUGAUAUGCCCUUGAUGUACGCUAUAUAUUAUUCUAUUACAUGUUUGUUUUGGUACGUUAAAAAUAACCCGAUUAAAUUAAAUAUUCAUGUCAUAUUUUUUGUUUUGUUUUAGAAAAGCUAUUAAAGUUGAAUCAUAGUAAACAGGGCGCGUAAUUUAGUUAAUAUGGUUCAUAUUUACCCUUUAAAAUUCUAUAUAUAUAAAUCUUAAUUUUGGAUUUGUAGGAGUAUAUUUAAACAAGUAAAUCAUAUUUUAUUUUAAAAUUAAGAGAUGGUAUCAUAUAGUAAAUGAAAAAAAUAUCGGGUUUAGAAAAUAAAAAAAAAGGAGGUUAAAUUCGAAUAUAACUAGAAUUUUAGAGCUGAAAUAAGAAACAAAGUGGGAAAGUGGAGGAAAAAUGCUGCGGAGAUUUAGAUAGGUAUAGAAUAUUCGCAUAGAUUUUUCAGGAGGAUAAGAUGCCUGUGUUUAGUGGACACGUGGACACAACCCAGCCCUCUCAACAUGCCACGACGUCAAAGGAGCUAGCACACGUAACGGCGCAUGACACAUUCCUCUAGAGGUGAGUAAAUUUCAACAUUAUGCUGCUACCAACUUAUAACAAUCGUAUCAGCAUGAAACUAAUUAAUGGAUUCUUGAUAACUUUCAACA